rnacentral:rRNA from 1 species
AGUGAACGCUGGCGGUAGGCCUAACACAUGCAAGUCGAACGGCAGCACAGUAAGCGCUUGCUCUUACGGGUGGCGAGUGGCGGACGGGUGAGGAAUACAUCGGAAUCUACUUUUUCGUGGGGGAUAACGUAGGGAAACUUACGCUAAUACCGCAUACGACCUACGGGUUAAAGCAGGGGAUCUUCGGACCUUGCGCGAUUGAAUGAGCCGAUGUCGGAUUAGCUAGUUGGCGGGGUAAAGGCCCACCAAGGCAACGAUCCGUAGCUGGUCUGAGAGGAUGAUCAGCCACACUGGAACUGAGACACGGUCCAGACUCCUACGGGAGGCAGCAGUGGGGAAUAUUGGGCAAUGGGCGCAAGCCUGAUCCAGCCAUACCGCGUGGGUGAAGAAGGCCUUCGGGUUGUAAAGCCCUUUUGUUGGGAAAGAAAAGCAGCAGGUUAAUACCCCGCUGUUCUGACGGUACCCAAAGAAUAAGCACCGGCUAACUUCGUG